rnacentral:rRNA from 1 species
GAUGAACGCUAGCGGCAGGCCUAACACAUGCAAGUCGAGGGGCAGCACGUCUUCGGAUGGUGGCGACCGGCGCACGGGUGCGUAACGCGUAUGCAACCUACCUCUUACAGUGGGAUAGCCCAGAGAAAUUUGGAUUAAUACCGCAUAGUAUACAGAUUCAGCAUUGGGGACUGUAUUAAACAUUUAUGGGUAAGAGAUGGGCAUGCGUUCUAUUAGUUAGUUGGAGUGGUAACGGCACCCCAAGACAGCGAUAGAUAGGGGCCCUGAGAGGGGGUAUCCCCCGACACUGGUACUGAGACACGGACCAGACUCCUACGGGAGCAGCAGUGAGGAAUAUUGGACAAUGGGCGAGAGCCUGAU